AAUAAAUGCAGUUUUGCACUAUUCAUCUCCAACGUUUGACCGUUCGUCUUAUUUGAAAAUUUUUUAUAAUUAUUUUUUUAUUGUUAUUAGAUGAUAAAAUAUGAAUAGUACUUUAUGUGUGACUAUUUUUUUAAAAAAAAUUCAUAAAUUUUUCAAAUAAGACGGACGGUCAAACGUUGGACACGAAUUUCCACGGCUGCACUUAUU
rnacentral:pre_miRNA from 1 species